AGAGUUUGAUCCUGGCUCAGGAUGAACGCUGGCGGCGUGCCUAACACAUGCAAGUCGAACGGAGUUUACAUGAAACCUAGUGAUUGUAAACUUAGUGGCGGACGGGUGAGUAACGCGUGGGUAACCUGCCCUGUACUGGGGGAUAACACUUAGAAAUAGGUGCUAAUACCGCAUAAGCGCACAGUGCCGCAUGGCACAGUGUGAAAAACUCCGGUGGUACAGGAUGGACCCGCGUCUGAUUAGAUAGUUGGUGAGGUAACGGCCCACCAAGUCAACGAUCAGUAGCCGGCCUGAGAGGGUGAACGGCCACAUUGGGACUGAGACACGGCCCAAACUCCUACGGGAGGCAGCAGUGGGGAAUAUUGCACAAUGGGGGAAACCCUGAUGCAGCGACGCCGCGUGAGUGAAGAAGUAUUUCGGUAUGUAAAGCUCUAUCAGCAGGGAAGAAAAUGACGGUACCUGACUAAGAAGCCCCGGCUAACUACGUGCCAGCAGCCGCGGUAAUACGUAGGGGGCAAGCGUUAUCCGGAUUUACUGGGUGUAAAGGGAGCGUAGACGGUGAGACAAGUCUGAAGUGAAAUCCCGGGGCUCAACCCCGGAACUGCUUUGGAAACUGCCUGACUAGAGUGCAGGAGAGGUAAGUGGAAUUCCUAGUGUAGCGGUGAAAUGCGUAGAUAUUAGGAGGAACACCAGUGGCGAAGGCGGCUUACUGGACUGUAACUGACGUUGAGGCUCGAAAGCGUGGGGAGCAAACAGGAUUAGAUACCCUGGUAGUCCACGCGGUAAACGAUGAUUACUAGGUGUCGGGGGUUUAUAAACCUUCGGCGCCGCCGCAAACGCAAUAAGUAAUCCACCUGGGGAGUACGUUCGCAAGAAUGAAA
rnacentral:rRNA from 1 species